ensembl:lncRNA
GUGUGUGUGUGUGAGUGACGGUCUGUGAGUGAGGUGGUGUGUGUGUGUGUGUGAGGUGGUCUGUGAGUGAGUGUGUGUGUGUGUGUGUGUGUGUGUGUGAGGUGGUGUGUGUGUGUUUAGAGAAAGAGGAGGACGGAGCUCAAGUCAACAUCACCGCUUUAUUGAUAGACACAGUAAAGCAUGUUAUAAUACAGUAGUAAGGCAUAUAUUUGGUGGAAUUUGAUAUGUUGUGGAACAAAUGAGUUAUUGAAAAAGAUGGACAAUACAACUCCAGGGUUAGAAAUGAAUGACACAGUGGAUUAAUGAAUCAUUAUCUUUGAUCAUGCUGCUAUAAACAUGGUGACAAAACGAAGCAAAAAGGUGUUGUCAUGAAACUGUAAUAAUCCUGAAGAAUACCUUCAAUUGUUUGGGUUUGAAAUAAACAUCAACUGUGAUCUCACACUGAUAACGCCCCCACACCAUGCAAUUCCAUAAAGGAGCACACAAAUAAAACUAAACAAAUGCAUUAGCACACAGAAGAUCAACUCUAGUCUGUCCAGGAUGGAUAACAGUAGUGCACCCUGGUCCAGUUUCCUUAAACAUGUCUGACAUUUAAUUUCUAUAUCUUAAUGAACCGCUGAGGACAGUACAGUGUAUGUAUCUGAACACAUUCAGAUUGGAGGGACUCAUUCCGUUUCAAAACAUAGAUGGGUUCUUUACGAUGGCAUCCAGCUACACUGAGGACACUACAGUGUAUGUAUCUGGAGGGACUCAUUCCAUUUCAAAACAUGGAUGGGUUCUUUAAGAUGGCAUCCAGCUACACUGAGGACACUACAGUGUAUGUAUCUGGAGGGACUCAUUCCAUUUCAAAACAUGGAUGGGUUCUUUACGAUGGCAUCCAGCUACACUGAGGACACUACAGUGUAUGUAUCUGGAGGGACUCAUUCCAUUUCAAAACAUGGAUGGGUUCUUUACGAUGGCAUCCAGCUACACUGAGGACA